rnacentral:tRNA from 1 species
GGCUUCACAGCUCAGUUGGUCAAGCAUCGCACCAGUAUCGCGGAGGUCACAGGUUCAAAUCCCGUUGAAGCCC